AUCGCUUCUCGGCCUUUUGGCUAAGAUCAAGUGUAGUAUCUUGGCCAUGUGAGGCGAGCGACCCUUU
rnacentral:snRNA from 1 species